CAGUAGCCGCGGGAAUACGGAGGGUGCAAGCGUUAAUCGGAAUUACUGGGCGUAAAGCGCACGCAGGCGGUCUGUCAAGUCAGAUGUGAAAUCCCCGGGCUUAACCUGGGAACUGCAUUUGAAACUGGCAGGCUAGAGUCUUGUAGAGGGGGGUAGAAUUCCAGGUGUAGCGGUGAAAUGCGUAGAGAUCUGGAGGAAUACCGGUGGCGAAGGCGGCCCCCUGGACAAAGACUGACGCUCAGGUGCGAAAGCGUGGGGAGCAAACAGGAUUAGAGACCCCGGUAGUCCCUGUCUCUUAUAC
rnacentral:rRNA from 1 species